GUCAAUAUAUCCGAGUGGUUAAGGAGAUAGACUUGAAAUCUGUUGGGCUAUGCCCGCGUAGGUUUGAACCCUGCUGUUGACG
rfam:Ipomoea nil DNA, scaffold: scaffold0317, cultivar: Tokyo-kokei standard.